CCUACGGGUGGCAGCAGUGGGGAAUAUUGGGCAAUGGGCGCAAGCCUGACCCAGCAACGCCGCGUGAAGGAAGAAGGCUUUCGGGUUGUAAACUUCUUUUGUCAGGGACGAAGCAAGUGACGGUACCUGACGAAUAAGCCAUGGCUAACUACGGGCCAGCAGCCGCGGUAAUGCGUAGGUGGGAAGCGUUAACCGGAUUUACUGGGUGUAAAGGGCGUGUAGGGGGGGAAGCAAGUCAGGUGUGAAAACCACGGGCUCAACCUGUGGCCUGCAGUUGAAACUGUUUUUCUUGAGUGCUGGAGAGGCAAGCGGAAUGCCGGGUGUAGCGGUGAAAUGCGUAGAUAUACGGCGGAACACCAGUGGCGAAGGCGGAUUGCUGGACAGUAACUGACGCUGAGGCGCGAAAGCGUGGGGAGCAAACAGGAUUAGAUACCCGUGUAGUC
rnacentral:rRNA from 1 species